AUCGUUCAACUCGUAUGAGUCGGAAGUAAGCAGUUGCUGAAGGAACGCACC
rnacentral:ncRNA from 10 species